rnacentral:rRNA from 1 species
GUGUCAGCAGCCGCGGUAAUACGAAGGGGGCUAGCGUUGUUCGGAAUCACUGGGCGUAAAGCGCACGUAGGCGGAUUGUUAAGUCGGGGGUGAAAUCCUGAGGCUCAACCUCAGAACUGCCUUCGAUACUGGCGAUCUUGAGUUCGGAAGAGGUUGGUGGAACAGCUAGUGUAGAGGUGAAAUUCGUAGAUAUUAGCUAGAACACCAGUGGCGAAGGCGGCCAACUGGUCCGACACUGACGCUGAGGUGCGAAAGCGUGGGGAGCAAACAGGAUUAGAAACCCCAGUAGUCC